GUAGGGGGCAAGCGUUGUCCGGAAUGACUGGGCGUAAAGGGCGUGUAGGCGGCCUGAUAAGUGUGAAGUGAAAGUCCUGCUUUUAAGGUGGGAAUUGCUUUGCAGACUGUCGGGCUUGAGUGCGGAAGAGGUAAGUGGAAUUCCCAGUGUAGCGGUGAAAUGCGUAGAGAUUGGGAGGAACACCAGUGGCGAAGGCGACUUACUGGGCCGUAACUGACGCUGAGGCGCGAAAGCGUGGGGAGC
rnacentral:rRNA from 1 species